rnacentral:snRNA from 1 species
AUACUUACCUGGCAGGGGAGAUACCAUGAUCAUGAAGGUGGUUUCCCAGGGUGAGGCUUAUCCAUUGCAUUCCAGAUGUGCUGAUCCCCGCGAUUUCCACAAAUGCGGGAAACUCGACUGCAGAAUUUGUGGUAGUGCGGGAUUGCCUUUGUACUUUCCGCGU